UACAGAGGGUGCAAGCGUUAAUCGGAAUUACUGGGCGUAAAGCGUGCGCAGGCGGUUUUGUAAGUCUGUCGUGAAAGCCCCGGGCUCAACCUGGGAACUGCAUUUGUGACUGCAAGGCUAGAGUACGGCAGAGGGGGAUGGAAUUCCGCGUGUAGCAGUGAAAUGCGUAGAUAUGCGGAGGAACACCAAUGGCGAAGGCAAUCCCCUGGGCCUGUACUGACGCUCAUGCACGAAAGCGUGGGGAGCAAACAGG
rnacentral:rRNA from 1 species